CGAGGGGGCAGCUCCUGCAUUGAGUGUCUGCCCCCUAGUGGUCAGUGCAUGUCAUAGUGACUGGUUGACCGGUCAUUCUGGCGGUUCAGUCCUAAUGGUCGCUUAGGCUUUUAUAUAUAGAGAUUUUGGAAAGGCCUGUGAGGAGCUAACCAAAGAGGAAGUCAGAAAUCAGUCACCCAAUUUCAGUUUAUGUCUUCAAUUGCUGUGACAUGAAUGUGCCAUUUUAACAGAUGAAUAAUCAGGAUUGAGAUAGCUCAUUUGCAAACAUGGCUUUUGCUGGAGGAACUUUUUAUCAUAUCUGAUUAACUUUUGGCUGCAAUAAUUAACUUUCUUACAGUGUAGCCAAAUGUGCUUGAAAAAAAUGCUAUGGUGUGUCAACAAAGAAUACCUCACUGGUUUGCUUAUUUCUGGCAUUUUUAAACUAUUGCACCUUUUGUUCCAUUUACAUGUUUGGAAAAAAUUAUACAUUAUAUUGCUCCCUUUUUACUAGAGUCUUCCCAUUCCUUUAGUCAACACUAACCACUUUAACUGCAAAGGACAAGAUUGGCAGUUUUUGCUACAAAACUUCAGGCUUUUUUUAUCUUGUCUUAGAAAAGCUGUUGUUUAUGUUGAGGAAUAGGACAGCUAUAUUUUACUCGGUCAAAUUAGAGACUUUUGAGCAAAAAUAUACAAUUUUUAUUCUAGUAGAUAAACCAGAGAAACUUCCAUUUGAGUGUUGUCUUCAUUCAGGAGUUACUUUCUGAAAGUUUGGAAGUAUAAUUUCUAUAGUUGUCACAUAGAUGAUUGCCAGAAAUUUGGUAGUUUUUAAUUGAAAUGUUGACAAAUUUUUAAAAAGAUGAAAAAUUCCUCUAGGGAGCAUUUAUGAAGCCAGGGCUUUUUAAAAUUUAACUCAAACAUUAAAAAGCCACAGUAUGUUUGCCAUUGUCUUAUAGUUAGAUGUCUUCCAUUAUGGUAUUCAAACACUGGAACUAAAAAGACAACAUAUGAACAGCAUACUCAGAUGGCUUUUCUAGAUCAUAGAAUUAAAUUUCUCUUUCCCCAUAUCAUUUAAGAGUCACUCAGUUGAUUGGAUCCCAUUUUUAGAAAGUUUGGAAGCUCCUUAGAUAAUUGACAUUUUCAUAAGCCACAUUAAAUGAUAUCAUUUUGAAUUUCUAUAAUGAAAAACACAAGUCAGUCCCAAAUCAUGGAAGAUUAUUGUGACUUAAUUACAAUAGGCAAAACUAUUUUUUUGUUUUCGCUUCAGACCUAUGUUUUCUAAAGGAAUAAAGUUAAUAAUGGGUGUUUUUUAGAUGGCACACUGCAUGCACUGUUAAUUUCCACUCAGCAGAUAGCAGCACUUGAUUUCAAUUCAAAGAGAAAGUUAUAGGGGUGCUCUGUGUAAUGCUAUGACAGGUUCACCCAGAAAAUGACUCUCAAGUAAAAACUGAACACAGUCGAAUGGAAAAGUCUCUGGUUGUCCUUAGAAGGGGGGAACAUUGUGGUACUAUAGUCAAGAACCUCUAACAAGAUAAAAGACAGCUUUUACUACCGGUCAGUGUAAACAACCGGCCUUUUUUCCUGUUGAGUGUCAUAUUAAACACAAUCUGAAAUUUUACUUGCUAUAAAGGAAAUAAGAUUUAUGUUUUUCUCUAACCUUUUCUCAGAAGCAUUAUAAAUGAAGUGAAUUUGAUUUACUGCAGUUUGCAGUGUUAUUGCUGCAGGCACUAAGCUACCCACUGUACUCUAUAAAAUAAAGACCACAAACAAAGACAUUCUUCAAAACAACCCAAAGACAUGAAAGGAAACACUCCUGGAUGCUAGUUACCACUUGACAGACAGAUUGGUGUCCAGAGUGUUUCGGCGUCCCAGCGCCUAAUGCCCCCAGAACCCUGAGCACAACACCUUGGAGGUCCCGGCACCAGCCACGUGUUCUCGUCACACCCAGGUUUUUGUAACAUGUCUUCCCUUUUGUUCUGCAGCCCUGGAUGGAACUGAGAAAUUAUGUUCAUGCAAUUAUUAAUAUUUGGAUUACUUUAUAAUUGCCUCUUUGCUCUUUUAGUUUUUUACCAUUUGUAUAAUCAAUUCCCUGCUCCAAAUCUCCUAUUCAAAAUACUUCAUUUGUGUCUUCCAUAUUAUCCCUGACCAAUUCAGCUAUAAACAUAAAAAUACAAAUUUGAAGUAUUAUUUAAAUA